rnacentral:rRNA from 1 species
UUGAUGGUUUUAUACACCUUCCAUCCGCCUGGGUAUUACGAGCACUAGCUUAAAACUCAAAGGACUUGGCGGUGCUUUAGACCCCCCUAGAGGAGCCUGUCCUGUAACUGAUAAUCCACGUUAAACCUCACCACCCCUUGCUAAGUCCGCUUAUAUACCACCGUCGCCAGCUUACCCUGUGAAGGAUAAAAAGUAAGCACAAAUGGCAAAGCCAAGAACGUCAGGUCGAGGUGUAGCGAAUGAGGUGGGAAGAGAUGUGCUACAUUCUCUAAUGGAGAGAAUACGCAAGGAAAUUUGAAAACAAUUUCAACUGAAGGAGGAUUUAGUA